UACAGAGAUGUGAUGCUGGAAGUCCUCAGAAACCUGUCAUCUAUAGGAAACCAAUGUGAUGAGAAGAACAUUGAAAAUCAGAUAAAAAAUUCUGGGAGCAGUCUAAGGCAGAUCACAUCUCAGUAUGGACCCGAAUGCUACAAGCAUGAAGAAUGUGAGGAGAAGCCAUGUGAAUUGAAACUAUACAGGAAAUCUCUGGUUUCUCUCAAAAG